rnacentral:lncRNA from 1 species
AAGUCCAAAGAAACGCAUUUGAUCAAACUUACUGAAUACUGAAAAAAAAAAUUACAAUCAAAGUACGGAUUAAUAACUACCUCAACAACUAACAGAGCCAAAGCCAAACCCUAGAGCUUCGAAGGGCAGAGACGAUCACAGAGACAAGAAUAGUCCUUAUUCCUUCCCACUGCUGCUGCUGCCACUUUCUCUCUCUAAAAACCAAUUGGAAAUUGUUUAUAAAGAGACAGAGAGGAGAGGGCUAUGAUGAUUGGAUGAAAGAAGCAUGAAAAACUAAAAGACAUGUAAGCUUGAAUUCGAGUCCCAAAUUGAAAAUAUAAGGGAGGAGUGUAAGGGUGGCUUACCGAGGUCAGGAGAGGUGAGUCUCAUAGGAAAAGUCGACGAACAGUGGCAGGAGCCAGUGCACAGUGAAAGGCCUCGCCUGUGUCUCCUGAACAGAACAGAGUGAGUGAUAGUGGUUCUGUGAGAUGGAGCGAGUGGUGGUGGUGCUGUAGUCAUGUUUUGCCGGAAAAUGGAGGCUUUGGUGCGCCUCGGUGUUUACAGAGAAAAGAAAGGGGAGUCCAGGGAGCUAGUGGUUGUUUGAUGGAGUUGAGGCUCGCCGGAGUGGCGAGUUGUGAUGUGGACUCAGGCCUCUCGGCCUCUGGGUUUUACGGAGAAGGGGAAGAUGGUUUAGGGUUGAGAGAGAUGGAGGGACGGCUAGGUUUUAGAAAAGAUGAAGAAGAAUGGGGGUGAGCAGCGCUGGGGCUACAUGUUGAGGGAAAUGAAGAGAGAGCAAGAAGAAGUCGAAGGCAGUGAACCCUACGGACAAAUUUACCCUUCUAAGUUAUAAUAAUUACCCUUCCAACCCAGCCCAAAUCUGAUGGGUUCCUUGUAAAUAAGGUGAAAUCAAGUGGCAAACAAUUGACUGUAGCCAUGAACAGUAAGGAACAGU